UGGGGAAUAUUGGACAAUGGGCGAAAGCCUGAUCCAGCAAUGCCGCGUGAGUGAUGAAGGCCUUAGGGUUGUAAAGCUCUUUUACCCGAGAUGAUAAUGACAGUAUCGGGAGAAUAAGCUCCGGCUAACUCCGUGCCAGCAGCCGCGGUAAUACGGAGGGAGCUAGCGUUGUUCGGAAUUACUGGGCGUAAAGAGCGCGCAGGCGGUCGUUCAAGUCGCGUGUGAAAGCCCCCGGCUCAACUGGGGAGGGUCACGCGAUACUGAUCGACUCGAAGGCAGGAGAGGGUAGUGGAAUUCCCGGUGUAGUGGUGAAAUGCGUAGAUAUCGGGAGGAACACCAGUGGCGAAGGCGACUACCUGGCCUGUUCUUGACGCUGAGGCGCGAAAGCUAGGGGAGCAAACGGGAUUAGAUACCCCGGUAGUCCUAGCCGUAAACGAUGGACACGUAGGUGUUGGUGGUAU
rnacentral:rRNA from 1 species